CAGUCAGUGGAUGAUUGUUAUGAUG
rnacentral:miRNA from 9 species